UCCAGACUCCUACGGGAGGCAGCAGUCGGGAAUAUUGCACAAUGGAGGAAACUCUGAUGCAGUGACACCGCGUAUAGGAAGAAGGUUUUCGGAUUGUAAACUAUUUUAGACAGGGAAGAAAAAAGACAGUACCUGUAGAAUAAGCUCCGGCUAACUACGUGCCAGCAGCCGCGGUAAUACGUAGGGAGCAAGCGUUAUCCGGAAUUAUUGGGUGUAAAGGGUGCGUAGACGGAGAAACAAGUUGGUUGUGAAAUCCCUCGGCUCAACCGAGGAACUGCAACCAAAACUAUUGCCCUUGAGUGUCGGAGAGGAAAGUGGAAUUCCUAGUGUAGCGGUGAAAUGCGUAGAUAUUAGGAGGAACACCAGUGGCGAAGGCGACUUUCUGGACGAUAACUGACGUUGAGGCACGAAAGUGUGGGGAGCAAACAGGAUUAGAUACCCGCGUAA
rnacentral:rRNA from 1 species